GUCCCUGGAGUCAUCUGGGGGGACACGAGCAGCACCACGGGUGGAAUGGGUCCCUGGAGGGUGGCGAUGGGGGGUUCUCCCAUCCCCCCCGUCUCCCUGGGGUGUUUUUCGGGACGGGCUGUCCCAGCGUGACCUCGUUCCGUGCGCGGGGAUGAUUAACCACUGCCGGCGCUGGCCCCGAGCCGGACAAUGUGUUUACCACAGACUGCGCCGAGCGGUGACCCCGGUGCCGCUUCGUUUGCCAAAUGAAUUCACCCUCAACAUGGGCUGUAAACAGGAGCCAGUGCUGAAACCUGAGUGCGCGCUCGCGCCGGUAACCGAAUAUUUCCUCUGCACGUGACUGGCCUGUCUCAGCAGUGAGCGCUGACGCCGCCGGGCCCGGCGCAGGCACACAGACCACAAACCACCCUGCGUCUCCAGCUCUGCCUCACAUCAGGCCAGAGGUGCCGGGGCGGCCCCACGGAGGAGUGCUGGGGGGGCCCUGCCACCCGGGUCACCCCCAGUCCCACAGGCUGCAGAUCAGAGCAGGGAACCACCUCUGCCCCGCUGCCCUGUGCAUUUCACUUCUGGAAUUUUUGCACAUAUUUCUAUUUUUUGCA